AUUUCCCUCUUUCCUCCGGCCUAACACAUGCAAGUCGAGCGGAUGAAGGGAGCUUGCUCCUGGAUUCAGCGGCGGACGGGUGAGUAAUGCCUAGGAAUCUGCCUUGUAGUGGGGGAUAACGUCCGGAAACGGGCGCUAAUACCGCAUACGUCCUGAGUGAGAAAGUGGGGGAUCUUCGGACCUCACGCUAUCAGAUGAGCCUAGGUCGGAUUAGCUAGUUGGUGAGGUAAAGGCCUACCAAGGCGACGAUCCGUAACUGGUCUGAGAGGAUGAUCAGUCACACUGGAACUGAGACACGGUCCAGACUCCUACGGGAGGCAGCAGUGGGGAAUAUUGGACAAUGGGCGAAAGCCUGAUCCAGCAAUGCCGCGUGUGUGAAGAAGGUCUUCGGAUUGUAAAGCACUUUAAGUUGGGAGGAAGAGAAGUAAGUUAAUCCCUUGCUGUCUUGACGUUACCAAAAGAAUAAGCACCGGCUAACUUCGUG
rnacentral:rRNA from 1 species